rnacentral:hammerhead_ribozyme from 1 species
AUCCAACGUACCAGUCACAAAUAGGACGAAACGCGCGUCCUGGAU